rnacentral:lncRNA from 1 species
UUUGUAUUAUUCUUGAACAUUUCUUAAGAGUUUAAAUGUAAUUGAAGGGACGCAACAUGGAAAGUCCCCACUCUGUGAACAGUCCAAGAAGAACUCUCAGUCUGUCAAAGCNGCGGAGGGCAACUGUGUCCUUUUUGGACCCUGAUGACAAAACCUCUGGCUUCGGAUUGUCUGGCGAUCAUGGCCCUAAGCCUUCUGAAGUUUAUGGUUUUGUAGGUUCUAUUACCACUGUUGUUGCUACAGGUCUUCUUCCCUUUUAUUCUGCUCUUCAGAAUUUUAACCCUUUUAUGUCUA